UACGUAGGGUGCGAGCGUUGUCCGGAAUUAUUGGGCGUAAAGGGCUCGUAGGCGGUUUGUCGCGUCGGGAGUGAAAACCCAGGGCUUAACCCUGGGCUGGCUUCCGAUACGGGCAGACUAGAGUACUGCAGGGGAGACUGGAAUUCCUGGUGUAGCGGUGGAAUGCGCAGAUAUCAGGAGGAACACCGGUGGCGAAGGCGGGUCUCUGGGCAGUAACUGACGCUGAGGAGCGAAAGCGUGGGGAGCGAACAGG
rnacentral:rRNA from 1 species